GUGGGGAAUUUUGGACAAUGGGCGAAAGCCUGAUCCAGCCAUGCCGCGUGUGUGAAGAAGGUCUUCGGAUUGUAAAGCACUUUAAGUUGGGAGGAAGGGCAGUAAGUUAAUACCUUGCUGUUUUGACGUUACCGACAGAAUAAGCACCGGCUAACUUCGUGCCAGCAGCCGCGGUAAUACGAAGGGUGCAAGCGUUAAUCGGAAUUACUGGGCGUAAAGUGCGCGUAGGUGGUUUUGUAAGUUGGAGGUGAAAUCCCCGGGCUCAACCUGAGAACUGCCUCCAAAACUGCAUAACUAGAGUACGGUAGAGGGUAGUGGAAUUUCCUGUGUAGCGGUGAAAUGCGUAGAUAUAGGAAGGAACACCAGUGGCGAAGGCGACUACCUGGACUGAUACUGACACUGAGGUGCGAAAGCGUGGGGAGCAAACAGGAUUAGAAACCCCGGUAGUCC
rnacentral:rRNA from 1 species